rnacentral:rRNA from 1 species
CCUACGGGGGGCUGCAGUGGGGAAUAUUGCACAAUGGGCGCAAGCCUGAUGCAGCGACGCCGCGUGAAGGAAGAAGGUUUUCGGAUCGUAAACUUCUAUCAGCAGGGAAGAAGAAAGUGACAGUACCUGACUAAGAAGCCCCGGCUAACUACGUGCCAGCAGCCGCGGUAAUAUGUAGGGGGCAAGCGUUAUCCGGAAUCACUGGGUGUAAAGGGUGCGUAGGCGGUAGGGCAAGUCAGGAGUUAAAUCCCUCGGCUCAACCGAGGUCAGCUCUUGAAACUGUAGGGCUUGAGUGCAGGAGAGGAGAGCGGAAUUCCUAGUGUAGCGGUGAAAUGCGUAGAUAUUAGGAGGAACACCAGUGGCGAAGGCGGCUCUCUGGACUGCAACUGACGCUGAGGCACGAAAGCGUGGGGAGCGAACAGGAUUAGAUACCCCAGUAGUC